UCUGAAUGCUACUAUACUCUUACUAAUCUUUGUGUAAUUUCCCGAUUUGAAGCAAGCAUCUAUUUUUCAAGUAAUUCCUUAUUAACAAGAUACUAUAUAUCUGCAGAAUGUUGAGUAUUUAAGAACUACCAUCGCGUUGGCCGUGAUUGGUUUUAUUUCACUCAUACUCUGCAUCGUGAGCGCUACCGUUGCGAUUGGCAGUGUUAGUUGUUGCCGAGCUGGCUGCUGUAAAACUUAUGGGGGCAACCCACAAGUUGUUUGUGUACAACAACCACCGCAGCAAGUCGUCGUUUCACCUGGCGCAAAGCAAGGCAUGGUACACCAAAAUGAAUAUGCAACGUCAACAGAUGGCCCUCCGUUAGAAAAGCAGGCAGAAGCAAAUGCUUUCCGAAGUUAGAGAACGUUGAUCCACUCAGCAAUUAAUAACAAUUGCAAGAG